UACGUAGGGUGCAAGCGUUGUCCGGAAUUAUUGGGCGUAAAGAGCUCGUAGGCGGUCUGUCACGUCGGCUGUGAAAACCCGAGGCUCAACCUCGGGCCUGCAGUCGAUACGGGCAAACUAGAGUACUGCAGGGGAGACUGGAAUUCCUGGUGUAGCGGUGAGAUGCGCAGAUAUCAGGAGGAACACCGGUGGCGAAGGCGGGUCUCUGGGCAGUAACUGACGCUGAGGAGCGAAAGCCAGGGGAGCAAACGGG
rnacentral:rRNA from 1 species